CAGUCGCGUCGGUCGGGGAUCAACCUUGCUCUUUUGCCUGGUGUACUUCCCGGUCGAUGGGCCAGCAUCAGUUUUGACCGGCGGAUAAAGGUCGGGGGAAUGUGGCAUCUUCGGAUGUGUUAUAGCCUCUGGUCACAUACGUCGAUUGGGACUGAGGAACUCAGCACGCCGCAAGGCCGGGUUUUUAACCACGUACGUGCUUAGGAUGCUGGCAUAAUGGCUUUAAUCGACCCGUCUUGAAACACGGACCAAGGAGUCUAACAUAUAUGCGAGUG
rnacentral:rRNA from 1 species